AGCAUUCGAUGUCUGUACUGUGUGAAGGUAAUAUGGUGAUUGCGGCUUUGUUAACAAGGUAUGUUAGGAAGGGGAAACUGCAGACUUUUUCAAUCUGGAAUAUACACUGCAGUCCGUCAAAUUCACAGCAGACAUUUUCCAAACGAUGUUGUCACAGUCCAACAUCCUCAAGCUAAAGACUUUGAAGAGGUGAAGGAGACUGGCCCUGAAGAUUGGCCAUUCUAUGGAGGAAGGAUUCAAGUAAAGCGGAAGAGUCGACCCCGUUUCCCUCAAGUUCUUCCAGUUGUUGAUUCCACUCCCAUUGACAUAAGGUCUCAUCAAGUAGAUCGAACAAUCAGAUUUGGCUCUAAUCCAAGGACUUAUCCAACUAUGUUGGUUUAUGCUGAUGGUAGCACUAUAACAAUACCAUAUCAUAAGCCAGUUGGAACUAUCUACCUCCCUGGAGAAGGAACUCAAAUUAGUCUUGGAGUUAAGAAAAAGGCUAAAGUUAAAAGGAGAGUCAAGAUUGGGUUGUGAAUAUUUAACAAAAUAUAUCAUGUAAAAUAUGAAUGCUUGUUAAUUUCUAACAUUAUAGUGAAGAAGGUUAUUUAUAUAAUCCUGCUUUUAUAACAACAUAUUCGUGUUUUACGCCUAAAGGUAUUUCUCUUACCGUGUAAUUACAAUGUUUUAGAAGGAUCAACUAAAAUUUUGAUGAGUAAUGAUAUCCUUGAUAAUGUAA